rnacentral:rRNA from 1 species
GAUGAACGCUGGCGGCGUGCCUAACACAUGCAAGUCGAGCGAGGGUUUGCUCAGUAUUGAGUAUUCUAAGUCUAGAAUGUUCAAUUCUGAGCAAAACCAAGCGGCGGACGGGUGAGUAACGCGUGGGUAACCUGCCCUAUACACAUGGAUAACAUACUGAAAAGUUUACUAAUACAUGAUAAUAUAUAUUUGCGGCAUCGCAGAUAUAUCAAAGUGUUAGCGGUAUAGGAUGGACCCGCGUCUGAUUAGCUAGUUGGUGAGAUAACUGCCCACCAAGGCGACGAUCAGUAGCCGACCUGAGAGGGUGAUCGGCCACAUUGGAACUGAGACACGGUCCAAACUCCUACGGGAGGCAGCAGUGGGGAAUAUUGCACAAUGGGCGAAAGCCUGAUGCAGCAACGCCGCGUGAACGAUGAAGGUCUUCGGAUCGUAAAGUUCUGUUGCAGGGGAAGAUAGUGACGGACCCUGGAG